rnacentral:misc_RNA from 1 species
GUUUAUUCAAAUGAAUACCAGACUCCUCUGAGGACGAAGACAUUUCAAGCCAUGGUCACAAAGAGUUUUCCAAAUGGCUAUACCGUUGAAACUGUUAUUGAUGGAAAACCCCUUCGUGGAUUAGUAUUUUCCUCCAAACCAAGACCUGAACAGACUCCCUGUAAUGAUCCUAUCAGGAAUAUGGGAAAUGGUGAAACUGAUAGAGAAAAGCAGAAUGGCGACCAUAAUUCUGUUAGAGAAGCUACAAGACCUUCAGAAACCAAUGUGAGCGACUUCCAGCAAGCAGAUAUCUUAGGUGGGAAUUCUAUCAGAAAUGAGCCUCCAGUUGGAGGUGCUACAGCUCAAAUGGAGAGUCCGUUGACCUCUUAUGCUCCACCUGCCCAUGAGGUUCGUAAUGUGUCCGAUGUUGUGAAUUUGGGAAGUGGUAUGCUUACUGAUGCAGUCGAUGGUGGUACUAAGGUGUCUAAGGAGAAUUCUUCUGCAACUAAUGACUCUUGAAUCCUUUAUUUAAGAAUCAAACAGCUUGGAAAAAGAUUUUCUCAAUCAAAUUAUUUGAGAUAAGAAUCAAUGUAACACCGAUUAGCCUUGUGCAAUUUUAUGGAGAUGGCGGAGGGAAUUAAUUCACUUCAU